rnacentral:pre_miRNA from 1 species
GUAUAUCCUGGAGUUCCUCUGAACGCUUCAUGUGAAGGGCUACCUAGUGCAAACGUUAGAACCCUUCUUCAAUGAAGUGUUUGGGGGAACUCUUGGGCUUAA